CUACGGGCGGCUGCAGUGGGGAAUAUUGGACAAUGGGCGAAAGCCUGAUCCAGCCAUGCCGCGUGUGUGAAGAAGGCCUUCGGGUUGUAAAGCACUUUCAGUGGGGAAGAAAGCCUUGGGGCUAAUACCCUCGAGGAAGGACAUCACCCACAGAAGAAGCACCGGCUAACUCCGUGCCAGCAGCCGCGGUAAUACGGAGGGUGCGAGCGUUAAUCGGAAUUACUGGGCGUAAAGCGCGCGUAGGCGGUCUGAUAAGCCGGUUGUGAAAGCCCCGGGCUCAACCUGGGAACGGCAUCCGGAACUGUCAGGCUAGAGUGCAGGAGAGGAAGGUAGAAUUCCCGGUGUAGCGGUGAAAUGCGUAGAGAUCGGGAGGAAUACCAGUGGCGAAGGCGGCCUUCUGGACUGACACUGACGCUGAGGUGCGAAAGCGUGGGUAGCAAACAGGAUUAGAUACCCCGGUAUC
rnacentral:rRNA from 1 species